GCAAUUUUUUAUUGCAAGUUUUGGUUUGGUGUUUGGAGGAAGGAAUCUACUCUUUCACUUGGGGCCGUGAGAAAGGAAGUAACCAGACAACGAAAAAAUAUUAAAAAUAAAUCCAAUUAAAGAGGUUACGAUAAAAAUCAAUAAUAACGCAAAUCAUACGAUCGUUGGAUACAACUACCAGAGCAAAAAGAGACAAGAAGACGUACACUUGAACGAUGGCUUCGUUAUCCCGUUUUGCCAUUAAUUCGGCACCAGCUCGUUUGUGUUUUGUUAGGACAACCACUUCAGGUGCAUAUUCCAACAACAACAGCAGCAGCAGCAACAACAAUACUGCUACGGCCAACAACACUAGAAUGCAUAAUUCUAUGACAACAUUUAAGACACAAGGUUUUGCCACGAAUGCCGCUAUAGGUCCGAUGUCAUCAAGGUUGCUGCUGCCAGCAUCUAACCACUCGAAACAAACCAGUCGUAAUUUUUCAAGCCUAAAUAUGCCAUUGCAGCCCCAAAUAUCUAGACUUGUACACCAUAACGCCAUGGCGCCUUUGAAAAAUCGGCGUUUUAUUUCUACAAAAGAAAUAACAAAGAAUAUGACCCUCUAUACAAAUGAGCCAUUCAAAAGUGAGGUGGACAACAAUUCACUGGACUUUUUCAGAUUCAAAAAACCCACCGGCAAUCCCUUGGUUUUAAUGAUGGCCUGGCUCCUGGCCAAACAAAAGCAUUUGAAAAAAUAUGCCGAAAUCUAUACUGAACUGGGAUUUGAUGUUAUGGUGGUCCAUAUAACCCCCUGGCAAUUGUUGUGGCCCGUCAAGGGUACCCAAGUGGUGGCCUCGGAAACAAUUAAGUUUCUGGAGAACAACAAAUCCUAUGCCCCCAUUGUGGUACAUGGCUUCUCGGUGGGAGCCUAUCAAAUGGGCGAAAUAAUGCUGCAAAUGUCACGGGACAUGGAACGCUAUAAGCAAAUUCUGGAUCGCUUUGCCUGUCAAAUAUGGGAUAGUGCUGCCGAUAUUACGGAAAUUCCCGUUGGACUACCCAAAUCCAUAUUUCCCAAAAAUCUAAGCAUGCAAACUGCUUUGAGAAAUUAUACCCUUUACCACUUGAAAACAUUCCACAAUCAAGCAACCAUACAUUACAUGCGUUCCAGCCAAAUGUUCCACUCAACCAUCUUGAAACAACCUGCCCUGUUCUUUGUCUCGGACAAUGAUCCCAUUGGCCCGCCAUCCUCCAAUCAUGCGGUACGUGAAAACUGGGAACGGGCCAACAUUAAGGUAACCUUCAAAUGUUGGAAGAAAUCACAACAUGCUGCCCACAUGAUCAAGCAUCGCGAUGAGUAUUUGGACAUACUAUACAAACACUUGGAAGAGUGUGGUGUCUUAGAGGCUAUUGGUGUCAAGACCAGAGCUAAGUUGUAAAUUGAAAACUGUUCCGGUUUUUUUUUCCAAUGGGCAUGUUGUAUGUGUCGUGUUUACAUUUUUCUUCUUCUUGUCGUCAUGUUUGAAACGAGCGAAUUUUUUUUGUAUUUUAUUUUAUUAAUAAUUGUUAGAUAUUUCUUCUUUAAAAUUCUAAUGGAAAUUUAAAGUAUUUCACCUGAUUGUUAGUUUUGUUUUCCAAUUGAAUGUUUUUAUUUUUCUUUUGAUAGCCGGCCUUUUGUUCUAAGAGGAAAGUGUUUGAAAUGAUAUUGUAUUAUUAAGUAUCAUCAUUUGUGUUGAAUGAUGAUUUUAUGCACUUCUUUUGAAGAGAAAUAUAAAAGAAUAUAACCCUUAUUAAAAAAAGUUUAAAA